rnacentral:rRNA from 1 species
GAUGAACGCUGGCGGCGUGCCUAAUACAUGCAAGUCGAGCGAACAGACGAGGAGCUUGCUCCUCUGACGUUAGCGGCUGACGGGUGAGUAACACGUGGAUAACCUACCUAUAAGACUGGGAUAACUUCGGGAAACCGGAGCUAAUACCGGAUAAUAUAUUGAACCGCAGGGUUCAAUAGUGAAAGACGGUUUUGCUGUCACUUAUAGAUGGUUCCGCGCCGCAUUAGCUAGUUGGUAAGGUAACGGCUUACCAAGGCAACGAUGCGUAGCCGACCUGAGAGGGUGAUCGGCCACACUGGAACUGAGACACGGUCCAGACUCCUACGGGAGGCAGCAGUAGGGAAUAUUCCGCAAUGGGCGAAAGCUUGACGCAGCAACGCCGCGUGAGUGAUGAAGGUCUUCGGAUCGUAAAACUCUGUUAUUAGGGAAGAACAAAUGUGUAAGUAACUAUGCACGUCUUGACGGUACCUAAUCAGAAAGCCCCGGCUAACUACGUG